AACGAACGCUGGCGGCGUGCUUAACACAUGCAAGUCGAACGAGAAAGCUCUUUCGGGAGCGAGUAAAGUGGCGCACGGGUCAUUAACACGUGGAUAAUCUGCCUUUAGGAGAAGGGCAACCUGUCGAAAGACGGGCUAAUCCUUCAUAAGACCACAGUACCUUCGGGUACAGAGGUAAAAGUGGCCUCUAUUUAUAAGCUAUUGCCUAAAGAUGAGUCCGCGCACCAUUAGCAGUUGGCGGGGUAAAGGCCCACCAAGGCAAAGAUGGUUAGCUGGUCUGAGAGGACGAUCAGCGACACUGGAACUGAGACACGGUCCAGACUCCUACGGGAGGCAGCAGUGGGGAAUUUUGGACAAUGGGCGAAAGCCUGAUCCAGCAACGCCGCGUGAGUGAUGAAGGCC
rnacentral:rRNA from 1 species